AGUUUGCAAAAGCACCUGCCUGCUUCUCUGCGGAUAAACACAGGGACCUAUUAUCAGCAGCAGAUGCAAUGACUUGAAGAUGAAGCCCCAUCUGCUGCAUUGGCUCUGCGUCUUCUGGGACACAGCUGACUGUUCACAAACAAGGACUUCCAGGAGUUUUUAAUUGGACCGUGACUCACAUAACUCAUCGAGUGCUGGAAAAGCAGCCCGAGCUGUUCAGGGUCAGUCCCCAGAAACUUGGGCCUGGCAGUUAUCCCACUGUGGGGGAAGCCACAUGUUUCAGAAACAAGCUCUACUGGCAGAGAGUUGAUUUUAUGUUUCCCAUCUGUCACUUACCAAGAGGGAGUCUAAUAUGCAUCCCAAAUAUGAUGGCAAGUUAUUUGAAAAUAUCCUUUAAGAAAGUUCACCCCUGAUGUUUACCAUUUGAGAAACACACACCUCCCAUAUGGAAGCCCGUCUUGAACUGGCAGUGUGUUAGGAGGAGAGCAGCUAAUGUAAAGUACGUUGUGCCUACUGAUGUGUGCAGGGAUACGGUUCAUGAACCCCAGAGUUCAGACACAGGAACACCGUUGCUGGAGUUGCUUGCCUUCUCUAAUUGAGCUCAAGGAAGCUCUGGAUUCAGAUGGAGAACUCUCAGCUACCUCUCCAGUGCCAUGUCUGCCUGCACUCCACCUGUUAUGCUUCGGGCCAUGAUGAUAAUGGACUAAAUCUCUGAAUGAGGAAGCUCACUCUGGCUAGAGAGCAAACUGGACCAAAGAACGGAACAAGAUGGAAGACAGACAAGUCCCCAGUCUCAUGGCUUGUAUGUUUCUAACAUAGGGGGCACUUCCCAAGUCCCCCAAAACAGCAAUAAGUAAGAUCACCCCAGAUUGUUGUAACAAACUGUUUGUAACAUAUGUGGAAUUCUACUGUUUGUGAUCCUUCUUCUGGUCUGCCAUCAAUACUUUCUCUUUUAAUCUGAAGGACUUUAUUAAGGAAAAACUAUGAGCCAUGUGGAUGUGGCUGAUUUCAUUGACAUGUGGUCCAUGGAUAUCCACUGAUAUGCUUGCUUUCUUUUUAUCAUGAUGAGUUAUAUACAGUGAUAUUGGAACUGACUUUUUGAGUCAACAAAACACUCCUAGGGAAUUUCAGAAAUGACUGUAGUGGGUAAGAUGAAUCACAUGAGGCUUUCCAGAGUCUCCACGGCACAACCCACUUUGCUACUCCCCAAACCUGAAUGGACUGCAUAGCCAUCGAUCCACAUUGCAAGGUCUCAGUUUACAGGAGACUCUAGGAACAGCGCCUUUGAUCUGCAGUUUUGAAGAUGAAAGCUAAGGAUGCAUGGUUUACUUUUGAAAAUUUCCCCAUGUUCUAUAUUUUCAUGUUCUCACCGCAAAUUAUACUCUUAACCCUAGUUAUUAUGGAGUCUUGUGGGAAACUUAAACAUGUACUUUUACCUUUGGCAAUAUUCUGUAAGUAUUGUCAUGAGUAUAACAUAACUUUUAAAAACGAAAUGCAAACAUCACUCUUCCUGUUAUGUGAUCGGAAAGUUCUAAAUGGCUGGCAUUUGCAGAAUAUUCUCAUUGGAGAUACAAACUGUUUAUCCCCCUUUCAUUUUCUCUGGGAUUUUGACAGUGAACUUUCCCCCCAGUUGAAGGGGGAAUCACAUGUAUGAUAUCUAUCGUAUGUUAGAGGGAAUAGGAUCACAAGGCGGACAUAACUUAAAUAUGCAUUUUUUUUUUUUUUUAGGACAGCGGUUGCUAAACGACUACCCCAAGACUCAAGUGUUCCUAUUUGUGUAAGUUUUCAGUGAAAUUCAGCUACCCUCAUUCUUGAAUAUAUUUCUGAAUAAUAGUACAGACUGCUAAGUCUGAAGUUGGGCCGACAGUGCUGACAGUUAAGUCCAGAAUAUAGUAUUACACUAAUAUAAACUUCACACACACACACAUCUGAAACUUUUCCUUCAGUUUGUGAAGCAAGCUGUGUCCAGCAUUGCCCCUCCAACUCAUUGAUAUUUUUGUAUUUGUGGUAAAAUUUCUGGAUGAAUUCUCUUGAGCCUCUGUGGGGUUCCCAAGGUAUCCCGGAGAGACGGUAACUCAAACGCUAUAGUUUAAUUCAGUAAGUGUCUUUUGGAGGACUUCUGCAAUCUUCAAAGCACAAUGUAAGUACAUGCAUAUGUGCAUGUGUUGUCAUCAAAGACUUGGAAGCUGUAGGCAUUGUCACAAAUGGAGAGCUCUUUGGUGACUUGCUAAUUUUGGAAUUCUAUUCCUUAUAUUUGAGUGUUGAAAAAAUUCCCAUGACCAUCCAACUUUUGACCUGAUUUUCACCAAACCAACUGUGCCAUUUGUACAUACCAGAAUAAACAAAUCAAUAAACAAAACAAAACCC
ensembl:antisense A230108P19Rik RIKEN cDNA A230108P19 gene